rnacentral:rRNA from 1 species
CCUACGGGUGGCAGCAGUGAGGAAUAUUGGUCAAUGGACGCAAGUCUUAACCAGCCAUGCCGCGUGCAGGAAAACGGCUCUAUGAGUUGUAAACUGCUUUUGUAUGAGGGUAAACGCAGAUACGCGUAUCUGUCUGAAAGUAUCGUACGAAUAAGGAUCGGCUAACUCCGUGCCAGUAGACGCGGUAAUACGGAGAAUACAAGUGUUACCCGGAUUGAUUGGGUUUAAAGGGUGCGUAGGCGGUCGGAUAAGUUAGAGGUGAAUUCCCGAGGCUGAACUUCGGAAAUGCCUCUGUUACGGUUCGGCUAGUGGGUAGUUGCGGUAGGCGGAAUGUAUGGGGUAGCGGUGAAAUGCUGAGAGA